GUCUGCAACAAGAAUUUUCCUUUGUCCAAAACCUUCAUCCGCUUGAACCUACAAGAGAGACAGAAACCAGCCGCUCUCGCCCUCUUCCUUUUCCUUGCUUAAAACUCCAAAAUCCACACCGCAGAAUCUCCGAAUUCCUUAAUUUUCACAGCAUUUCCUUCCUUUCUCGGAAAAUUUCCAAAUGGGUUAUUCAUAAACAUCCUUUAAAUCAAAUGGGUCUGCUUUAAAACCUCACCAGCAUGGAGUGGCUUAGCCUGUGAUAGACUCUGCUGGUUUUUAUUGCUUUCGGAUAUGGCUGUCAAAAUUGGCUCUUCGUUUUCUUGUUUGGUCGCUUCUGUUUCUUCUCCUUUACAAUCGAGGAGAAGUUCCCGGUUGAGCUUAUCAGAAGGAUUUUAUGAGAUUCGGAAACAUGAUUUUCAGCUAAAAUAUGCUAAAGGCAAGUCAUUUCAGUGCAUAGGUGGAAAGCUGAAGUCAAAUGGAAGGUUCCCGAAGGGGCAACAUCUUCUCUGUGCUACUGCUAUUUCUGAAGAACAGACACAACAUAGUGAGAUCGAACCAGAUCCAUUAGGAAAUCAUCGUCCUCUUGCUGAAGAUGUUUCUCCUGCAAGCAGCUCAUAUAUCCAUUUCGAGGGAACUGGUGGAAAACCCGGUUUACUCUCAUUUUAUAACCGUCCAUAUAAAGGAGAGGACAAAGUUCUUAUUUCCAGCCCGCAGAAGAAUCAGAACAACCUACUCUGGUUUAUUGGUCCAUCUGUCCUCGUAGCCUCUUUCAUUUUCCCCUCACUUUAUUUGCGCAGAAUGCUCUCCACUAUAUUUGAGGACUCUUUGUUGACCGAUUUCCUCAUACUGUUCUUUACUGAAGCUCUUUUCUACUGUGGAGUUGCUGUAUUUCUUUUACUAAUUGACCGCUUAAGGAGACCUAUCAUGCCAGAUUCUGCUACAGCCAUGGACAGAACCCUGGCUUCUCAUCUAGGACAGCGAAUCUCUUCUGUAGCUGCCCUAGUGCUUAGUCUAAUCAUUCCUAUGGUGACAAUGGGCUUGGUCUGGCCGUGGACUGGCCCUGCAGCGUCUGCUACUCUUGCUCCAUACCUUGUCGGUAUUGUUGUCCAGUUUGCAUUUGAGCAGUAUGCGAGAUAUAAGAAGUCACCUUCAUCUGCUGUCAUUCCAAUUAUCUUUCAGGUUUAUAGAUUACACCAACUGAACAGAGCAGCACAACUGGUGACAGCCUUGUCAUUUACAGUUAGAGGAGCUGAGAUGACCUCACACAACUUGGCAAUAAACAGCUCUCUGAGUACUCUUCUCAAUGUCCUCCAAGUUCUUGGAGUCAUUUGCAUUUGGUCUCUCUCAAGCUUCCUCAUGCGGUUCUUCCCUCCUACUGCCAUGACUGUGCAGUGAGACACGUGUUUCAGGAAAAAUUAUCAUCUCGCAUAACAGGGAACAAUCGCUGCAGGUGUUCUUGUUUCAGACUUCAUACUUGCUCUCAAGUGGCAGCUGCAUGGAAGAUGAUUCCUUUGUGCAUUUGGUUGGAAUUGAAUGAGAGGUGUUUUCAUAAUAGGGAAUGCAAUGUAGAAGAACUCUAGAAAUUUUUUGUAUUCCUCGUUUUUCUAGUAUUAGAAUGUAUUUAAGCAUUUCUUUUGUAUACAUCUUGUGUACAUGGGUUUCACCUAUUGUAUUUGAUUAAAAAAAUUUUACUCAUAAAAAAAAUAAAAAAUAAAAUAAAAAUCUUGAUUCUAAACAAAUAAGAAACCAGGUGGUGACACUGCCAACCGAAGGGUUAUUAACCUUGAAUCCUUUUUUAAGGGGAUGUAAAUUGUAAGUGUUUGGUAAUUGAUGAGAGUUUAUACCUGUGAAAUACGCCGAAUACAAGUGGUAAUUGAGGAUUGACGCAGAGUAAAACAGUACUAUGAAAAUGACAUUGAGACACCAAAGCUGACUGGUAUUUGUAAUAGAAACUAUUAUGAUAUUUUAAGCAUCAUGAGAAUUUUCAAAGCGUUUGAUAAUUGAUUGCAAGUAUGGAGCUUGCUUUUGAUUGCUAACUAAA